rnacentral:rRNA from 1 species
AAACAUGCAAGUCGAGCGAGAAAGUUUCUUCGGAAAUUAGUAAAGCGGCAAACUGGUGAGUAACGCGUGAAUAAUCUACCUUUGGGAUGGGGAUAACCUCGGGAAACUGGGGCUAAUACCGGAUGAGGCUGUAUCCACAUAGGGUACAGUGAAAGGGGUGGUUUUGCUACCUGCCUGGAGAUGAGUUCGCGUCUGAUUAGCUUGUUGGUGGGGUAAAGGCCUACCAAGGCGACGAUCAGUAGCCGGCCUGAGAGGGUGUACGGCCACAUUGGAACUGAGAUACUGUCCAGACUCCUACGGGAGGCAGCAGUUAAGGAUCUUGCGCAAUGGGCGUAAGCCUGACGCAGCGACGCCGCGUGAGCGAUGAAGGCCUUAUCGGUUGUAAAGCUCAUUAAAUAGGGACGAAUAAUGGAUGUUUUAUAGAUGUUCAGAUGACGGUACCUAUUGAAAGCCCCGGCUAAUUACGUGCCAGCAGCCGCGGUAAUACGUAUGGGGCGAGCGUUGUUCGGAAUUAUCGGGCGUAAAGGGAGCGUAGGCGGGAUAUUAAGUCAAUUGUGAAAGGUCACGGCUCAACCGUGGGAUUGCAUUUGAAACUGAUAUCCUAGAGUCUGAGAGAGGGAGACGGAAUUCCUGGUGUAGCGGUGAAAUGCAUAGAUAUCAGGAAGAACACCGGUGGCGAAGGCGGUCUCCUGGCUUAAGACUGACGCUGAGGCUCGAAAGCAUGGGGAGCGAACGGGAUUAGAUACCCCGGUAGUCCAUGCCCUAAGCGUUGUGUACUAGGUGUUGGAGGAGUCAACCCCUCCGGUGCCGACGUUAACGCAUUAAGUACACCGCCUGGGGAGUAUGCUCGCAAGGGUGAAACUCAAAGGAAUUGACGGGGGCCCGCACAAGCGGUGGAGCAUGUGGUUUAAUUCGACGAUACGCGAAGAACCUUACCUGGGCUGAACUACGGCCUGACGAGUGCAGAGAUGCGCUUUCCCUUCGGGGCAGGUCGAUAGGUGCUGCAUGGCUGUCGUCAGCUCGUGUUGUGAGAUGUUGGGUUAAGUCCCGCAACGAGCGCAACCCCUAUUCCUUGUUGCUAACAGGUAAUGCUGUGCACUCUAGGAAAACUGUCGGUGCAAGCCGAAGGAAGGCGGGGAUGACGUCAAGUCAUCACGGCACUUAUGUCCAGGGCUACACACGUGCUACAAUGGCCGGUACAGAGAGUCCCGAGUCUGCGAGGCGGAGGUAAUCUCAAAAAACCGGUCUCAGUUCGGAUCGUAGUCUGCAACUCGACUGCGUGAAGUCGGAAUCGCUAGUAAUCGUAGAUCAGCAUGCUACGGUGAAUACGUUCCCGGGCCUUGUACACACCGCCCGUCACACCACCCGAGUUGGGAGCACCCGAAGUGGCUGAGCUAACCGCAAGGAGGCAGGUUACUAAGGUGAACUUGGUAAGGGGGGUGAAGUCGUAACAAGGUA